rnacentral:rRNA from 1 species
UACGGAGGGUGCGAGCGUUGCUCGGAAUUACUGGGCGUAAAGCGUACGCAGGCUGCCUUGUAAGUCGGGUGUGAAAGCCCGGGGCUCAACCCCGGAAAUGCGCCCGAGACUGCAAGGCUUGAAUGCGGGAGAGGAAAGCGGAAUUCCUGGUGUAGAGGUGAAAUUCGUAGAUAUCAGGAGGAACACCAGUGGCGAAAGCGGCUUUCUGGCCCGGCAUUGACGCUCAUGUACGAAAGCGUGGGGAGCAAACAGG